rnacentral:rRNA from 1 species
UACGUAGGGCGCAAGCGUUGUCCGGAAUUAUUGGGCGUAAAGAGCUCGUAGGCGGUUUGUCGCGUCUGCUGUGAAAUCCCGAGGCUCAACCUCGGGCUUGCAGUGGGUACGGGCAGACUAGAGUGCGGUAGGGGGAGACUGGGAAUUCCUGGUGUAGCGGUGGAAUGCGCAGAUAUCAGGAGGAACACCGGUGGCGAAGGCGGGUCUCUGGGCAACAACAUG